GAGGAACAAAAACUUCUUCACUAUGUAUUUGACGAUAGCAAAAAUGAAAUGGACAUUGUUGUUUCCAUGAAUCUUCAUGGACGGGCAUGUGAAGUUGGCACCCGGCGUGACAUGCGCACGCUCAAACCAGGGUCGUGGCUAUCCGACACUCCAAUCAACUUGGUCGCG